rnacentral:rRNA from 1 species
AUUGAACGCUGGCGGCAUGCCUUACACAUGCAAGUCGAACGGCAGCACGGGUGCUUGUACCUGGUGGCGAGUGGCGAACGGGUGAGUAAUACAUCGGAACAUGUCCUGUAGUGGGGGAUAGCCCGGCGAAAGCCGGAUUAAUACCGCAUACGAUCUACGGAUGAAAGCGGGGGACCUUCGGGCCUCGCGCUAUAGGGUUGGCCGAUGGCUGAUUAGCUAGUUGGUGGGGUAAAGGCCUACCAAGGCGACGAUCAGUAGCUGGUCUGAGAGGACGACCAGCCACACUGGGACUGAGACACGGCCCAGACUCCUACGGGAGGCAGCAGUGGGGAAUUUUGGAAAAUGGGCGAAAGCCUGAUCCAGCAAUGCCGCGUGUGAAGAAGGCCUUCGGGUUGUAAAGCACUUUUGUCCGGAAAGAAAUCCUUGGCCCUAAUACGGUCGGGGGAUGACGGUACCGGAAGAAUAAGCACCGGCUAACUACGUG